CUCUAACUCAAGAAGUUCUCUUCCCUAGGAGGGCAAAUAACAAAGCCUGGUCUAUUUAUAGCUGUUCCUCCCUGUCUCAGGAUAUUGCAUGCUCACACAUGUUUCAACUAUUCUGAGAACUAGAAUCAACAAGACAGAAGAAGACUAGAUGAUGUUUCCUUUCCUGCCCAAUUUAUCUGGUUAAAACGUCUGAUACACUGUUGAAUAGAAGAGGCAAGGGCACAUGUUCAUGUCUUGUUCCUGAUAUUGGGAGAAAGCAUCCCGUUUUUCACCACUCUGGCCAGGACAGCCUAUCUGUGCAGGAGGCAUUGCUGGCACCCCGUGGGGACUGAGGACCAAGGAGGAGCUGCUCCCCCACACACGGUUCGUACUUCUGCUCUGUGAAGAGAGACAACUGUGCCCUGUUACCUUCACUGAACUAUGAGGAUAUUUUUAUAAGACAUCUAUUUCCCAGAUGAGAUAUUCCCUGACAAGUUUUAGGAUAUCAUUAUGUUGUCUGCUGGCUCAUCAACUGAGAAAUCAGCUGCCAGUCUUAUUGUUGUCUCUGUAAAGGAAUGUGUUUUUCACAUCUGGCUACGGCACUUACCCAAGCAGAAACGGGGUUUCACCAUGUUAGCCAAGAUGGUCUCGAUCUCCUGACCUCGUGAUCUGCCCGCCUUGGCCUCCCAAAGUGCUGGGAUUAUGCAUUCUCUCUUUACAUCACAAUGACCAUGACCUUGGAUAUGGAGUCCACUCAAAAAUAAUCUGAACUAAUAAACAAAUUCUGCAAGGUUGAAGACCACAAGGUCAAUAAAAAUAAUUAAUUAUAUUUCUAUGUGAUACAAUAAACAUUCUUAAAAUUAAGAAAAAAAUUUCAUUUACAGUAGAAUAACAAAAAAAUACUUAAAAAUAAGUGUAAUCGUGAGAUACAAAUUGGUACCCUGAAAACUACAAAAAAUUCCUGAACAAUAUUAAAGGUCUAAAUAAAUGGAAAAUUGUCUUGUGUUUAUGGAUCAGAAGACUUAACAAUUUGAAGAUGGCAAUACUUCCCAAAUUGACGCACAGAUUUAAUGCAAUACCUGUCAGAAAACUAGCUGACUUUUGUGGAAAUUGAAAACUGGUUGUAAAAUAAAUGGAAUCGCAGGAGAUAUGGAAUCACCAAGGAAUACUGACACAGAAGAACCAAGUAGGAGAGUGUGCAAUGCCCAGUCUCAUAGCUCAUUACAAAACCAAACCAAGCAAGGCAUUGGCACAAGAAUAGACAUACAGAUCAAUGGAACAGAACUGAGACCCCAGAAAUAAAACCAAGUAGUCAGCUGACUUUUUGAAAGCUUGCCAAGACCAUCGAAUGGGAAAAUUUUUUUUUAAUAUACGUUGCAGGGAUAAUUGGAUAUAAACAUCCAAAAGAAUGAACUUGGAUGCUUAUCUUGCACCAUAUGCAAAAAUAACUGAAAAUGAAUUAAAGGCUAUAACUAUUAACUCAGAACAAAAAAUGAGCUGCAUUUUCAUGAUCCUAGGUUUGGCAAAAUACUCUAAAGUAUAACUCCAAAAAAACCCCACCAAAAAUCUAGAUAAAUUUAAUUUCAUCAAAAUUAAACAUUUUGGGCAUCAAAGGGCAUCAUUAAUAAAAUGAAUAGACUUACUACAGAUUGUGAGAAAAUGCUUGCAUAUCAUAUGUCUGGUAAGCAAAUUGUUUCUAGAGUAAUAUAUAAAAAAACUCUUACAACUCAAUAAGAAGACAAAUAACACAAACUAAAAAAUGGCAAAGGAUCUGAAUAGAUCUUUCUCCCAGCAAGAUCUACAAAUAGCUGAUAAUCACAUGAAGAGGUGCCUGGCAUCAUUAGUCAUCAGGAAAAUGCAAAUCAAAAAACCACAGCUAGGUACUACAUCACACCCACUAGGAUGGCCAGAACACGAAUGACAGAUAGUAAGUAUCAGAAAAGAUAUUGAGAAAGUGGAACCCUUAUACACUGUUGGCAGAAUUUGAAAUGAAACAUCCACCUGGUAAAACAGUUUGGACAUUCCUCGAAGGAUUAAACAUAGAGUUACCAUACGACCCAAAAACCCUACUCUUUGAUACAUACAUAAGAAGAAUGGAAACGUAUAUUCACACAAAAGCUGAAACAUGAAUGUUUAUAGCAGCAUUAUUUAUAUAGCCAAAAGAUAGAAACGACCUAAUUCCUGCCUGCAGUUGAUGCUGAUAAACAAAAUGUCCUAAAUGUCCCCAACUGCAGUGAUGGUUGCAUAGUUCAUGAAUAUACCAAAAUCAAUUGACUUGUUAACUUUCUAGUAUGUGAGUCAUAUUUUAAUGAACUGUUAAGAAAAUUUAAAAACAUAAUGAAUAGGAGAGACUUUCAUGUUAAGAAGAUGAGCGGCUGCCAGGCGCGGUGGCUCACACCUGUAAUCCCAGCACUUUGGGAGGCUGAGAGGAGCAGAUUGCCUGAGCUCAGGAGUUUGAGAACAGCCUGUGCAACAUGGUAACAUCCUGUCUGUAUUAAAAUACAAAAAAUGAGCCAGGCAUGUUGGUGAGUACCUGUAAUCCCAGCUACUCAGGAGGCUGAGGCACAAGAAUUGCUUGAACCUGGGAGGCAGAGGUUGCAGUGAGCGGAGAUCAUGCCACUGCACCCCAGCCUGGGCAACAAAACAAAACUCUGUCUCAGAAAAAAAAAGAAAAAGAAAAACAAACAAACAAACAAAAAAACAAAAGAAGAACAAGAAUGGGAGAGCCUUGAUGUGGUUGGAGCAACUGAGGUGCAGAGUAGGGAGUGUGAGUGUGGGGAGGUGAACAGGUGGCAGCAGGUCCCCAGAGGCCUUGUGUCUGUGGUAAGGAGUUUAGAGUUUAUUCUGAGAAGGAAGGGGUAAAAUGCAAACAUUUUUAAAAAGGGAGUGACUUAAUCAGCUUGAUGUGUUAUGACAGACUCAACAUGGAGAAGGAUGGUUUGAUAAGUGGCCAGGUUGGAGGCAGGAACACUGAAGAAGUAAUCCAGGAGAAAAGUGAUGAGGGCUAAAUAUCAGCAAGGAGACGGAGAAGAAUGGUGUAGUUAUAGGAGAUUUAAGGUAUGAAAUGAUCAGGCCCUGUUGAGGUCAGGAAUAAGGAAGACUUGAAAACCUGGGGCUCUGAGGACUCCUGCAGGUGACAAGCUGAGUGGCGACUCCCUUCCCCAAGGGUGUGGCAGGGGAGCUGGAGGUCAUCUGCAACCCCCACUUGGCUCUUUGGCUGGAUCUAGAAACCAAAUUGACACCAGACAUAUUAAGAAGACAAAAGUAUACCUAGAUUUCAUUAGUUUUACAUGUACAUUAUGCUCUUCAUAAGAGAGUAAGGUCUGAAGAAGUGACCAAAGCAAGAUGUUUUUAUACAUUUUAGACAAAGAACAAUACAUUUGAGAAGAAAUGACAGAACAAAGAGAAUCUGGCUGGGGCAGUGAAUUUCUAGGGGAGUUGACUAGGAGAUAUAUGGAAGUGGGGUGUAAAACUAGCGGAAGAUAAGAGUUAUUUGGAUAAGUAUAAUUAUUCGGAUCCAUUGCAGCCACCCAGUUCUCAGUCUCUGGUGAUAAGGGCUGUUUCCUUGCCCUAAUAUGGUGAGGGCACCCCUCCCAGAGGAAUCUUUAUGGCUUGCUGCAUGUAGGAAGAACAGUGAGCUCACCCUAUCUGAAACUACAAUUUCUCUAAUUUUUUCAGCUUGAAAUAAUCAAUAUGCCAAUUAUGCACAUUUUGGGAUGGUAAGUUCUUCACUUGUUCAGUGUACUUGUUUGCUCCCUUAGGGUCCAGGUGCAUUCUCUUCCAUGCCUUAACUGCUGACACUACUUGGGAGAAUUUACUCUUCAGUUUGUAGCUCAUCUGUGAAGGGAAUUGAAGAAGGGGUUGCAGUAACAUUUAGGUAAGAAAGUGGAUGGGAAUUGGUGACAGGCAUUAUAUUGAGUAACUGCUUACAAGUCAGUAAGAAACAACACUGCAUAUUGGCAGCCUUAAGUUACUUUCUGUGGCAAAGAAAAGAAUCAGUGAUUCUAGUUAUACAGCUUUAUUGGAAAAUGUUUUUAGAAAACUGUAAUCAGAAAAGUACAUUCCUUUAAGUUAGUUUUUCAAACCUUUUUUAAGGCAGCUCGCAAUACUUUAAAAAUUAACAUACGUAUUUAUAUUGAAUAGCAGCUUAUACAUUGAUUUUGCAUACAUAUUUCAAUUAGUAAUUCAAAGAAAACCUUUGGUUUGAGCAUACUCAAAUAAUAAUAAUAUUAUUAUUACUACCAUGUUCCAGAAUAGGAAAUUGAGAUUCAGAGAUAUGAAGAGACUUCAGCUACUGAGUGGUGAAGUCAGAUUUGAAGUUCAUGACUUCUAGCCAGAAACUCCAUGUGGUCACACUAUUUAAGUGAUAUUUUCCUGUCCCUACCCAUCCUAUGUAUUUUUAUUAGCCAAAUGUUUAUUCUUUUAAAAUAAAUAACAAUAUCAUAAAUACAGGGUUGUGUUUGUCUUUAAAGUAAUCUAAGAGUUGCUUAAAUCCAUAGCCUCAGAAACUUCUUUAUUGUUGCCCUAUGAAAGGCAAUUUAACAUCCUUUAGCUCACCAUCAUGUAGCUAUGUUUUGUUUCCUUAGGAAUGCUGUAAUUAGGUCUAUUGUUGGUAUUACUUACUUUUCUCUGUCCACGUUCACUAUGUAGGCAGAAAACUGAGCUCUUAUAAUGAGAAAUAAUUUCCCAUGGAGAUUAAGCUCCACAGUAGUUUUAUAGAUAUUGAGUCGAGAAUAGCAUGUUUUACAGAUUGAGGAAUCAGGCAACUGGGUAAAAGAGAGCUUUCUCUUUAACCAAUAAUCAGGAUUCUGAAGAUAAAUAAUGCUUUAAAGUUUGUACUGAAAACUCCUUAUGAAGUUUUGUCUCAAGAGUGGGAGAGAGAGCUUUAGUAUUGCAUUGUGAAAGUCAAGAAUUACAAUUUAUACCAAAAUACUGAUCACGAUGGACUGAUAUAAUGCAAAAGCAAGGGCAGCCAGUUUUCCAGCUGACAGAUAGAGUUUCAAGUGGAGGCAAAUUAGGCCUAUAACAUAUUCCAUCCUGAAAUAGCCAGAUGAGCCUUUCUUGGCCAAUGAUAAGUCUAUGAGAAACCAGGCAAUUAUUUCCAGCCUGAAAAAUGAGAUGACUUUGAAAUGUAUGAGCCUCACUGGCUGCACAUCUCAUCCGUGCCUACGUCCUGUACAUUAUUUUCCAUCCGUGCCCACAUCCUGUGCAUUAUUUUCCUAAGGUUUUCUGGAAAUUCUUUUUUCUGGUCUGUACCUUUCUGUUGUACUCUAGCUAGUGUCCAACUCUCUCCACUCUGAUCUAAUCUUCACAUUACAUUAUUUACUUUUCCUGAACCUUAGAAAAGUCUCUCUUUCACCCACACUCCUUUCAAUAACAAAAUGUGGAAUGCAAGACAGAUAUUUUAUCUGUCCAAGUGACUUUGAGAAACACAUUUAGCUCUCAAAGUUUCCGUUUCCUUAUCUUUAAAUUGAGGGAAAGAGAGAGAAAUCAGAAAAUGCUGCAAAGUUAAAGGAUGCAAAUUUACACAAUAAUUUUCUAGAUACUUGACAUUUUGAUUCAUCAUUUUCAAAAUCAUUGAAAUUAAAAAUACAGUUUUUAGUGCAUUAUUUUAAAAAAGAAAUAAUUGGCAACACCUGACCAAUAUCAAAUACGCAGGUGAUCUGUUUUGGCUUAUUUCCUCUGUAACAUUUAAGAGUGGGUUCUCCUGAGUUCACUGGCAUCCCAAAACACGAGACACAUUGAUGGAGCUUCAAUGUGAAAUAAUCAUGUGGAAAAUCUUUCCACUUUUCUUCCUUCUUGCUCCUUAAGACACUUCCAUCUUGUGACCUGGAGUACUGCCAGUAUAGUAAUUGCAUCUCAAAUAGACUGUUAGUAUGCAAGCAUUGCAAAUGUUUACCUGUGGUACAAUAAGGAAGCUGAGGAUAUUAAAGCGAUAAUGUAUGAGGAGCUGGUGACAUUAGAUGACUUGAUGUAUCUUUUAGAAAGAGGAAGGCACAGGCAAGAACAUUCUUUAUAUCUGCAUUUCCUGCCAGGCUGCGAAACACUUCACUUAAUGAGCAUCUUUCCCUGCAGAGUAAAGUGACAUCAAUUAGAAAAUAAGCUUAUAAUGGAACCUUUACCUUUGAAAUGAUGUGUUUGCACAACUCCCCAAGGCAGUGUGUGCAUAAACUCAAGGCUUGUUUUCCAUCUAAACAACUUCUGAUUUUACUCAUUUACUAAAGAAAGGCAAGAAGCACCGUCAAGGCUUAGGUAUACAGGUUCAGUUUUGUUAGCUCAUGAAGGUUGUAUCUGAUGGUUUUUCAAAGCAGUGUUUAGCAACUGCAAGAAGAUCCCCUGGUUUUACAUGCACAAAAUAAUUUAUCUGAAUCCUUCUAUCCUCAGAGAGCAGAAUCAAUACUGUUGCCUAUUUGGCAUCAAAUGGGAUUUAUGCAAAUCCCUCAUCUGUGCAGAAAUCUAAUGAUUUUUAGUGUCAGUGUUUCUAAUUCUUUGUGGUGUUCCUUAUAUUGGUUUCUGGAAAAAUUACUGCCUAGCCAACCAUGCUUUUCUUCCAGAUUGAUUUUCUUCACUAAGUAACCAUGAAGUGUAUCAUAUUGCAAUAUAGCCUAUUCUUAAGUGCAUUGUUAGAGUGCCACUCUCCUGAAUCACCCUGAAUGCCUUGUUUUCAAAACUUCUAGGUUGUGACUAUCGUUAAAAAAAAAAAAAAAUCAUUCCUGUAGGACAGCGAUCUCCUAACCUUGACAGCUUCUUAAGAACAGGCAGCAGUGCAGCUGUUAGGGAUUAGGAAGGUCAUGGCCAGACUCACCCUCCAUGUUGAACCUAAACAGUAUUGUUGGGUAGGAAUAUCUUUCAUCAUCUCAAAGACGUUGUAACAAAUGCAGAUACGUUUAAAAAGGCUGCGAGGGACUUGAAGCUUUUUAAUCUGCAAAUUUGUAGAAUGCUUUUUUUUUUGACGUUUUUCUGGGAUGUAUUUUAUAUUCCACAAUGAAAAGUAAAAGGUUUGGAGUACAAAAGAAUUGAUAUAACCUAGAGCCAAUUAUGUGCAUAAAUCCCAACCAUCAUUCCUCUCUUCUUCUUCCCUUUUAUAUUUCAUUUUCUUCCUACUUGUUUUACUUUUCCUUCUUCUUUUCCUCACCCUUUCUUUCUUAUCCUUCCCUCACAUUUUUCUUCCCCUCUCUCAUUUACUACCUCUUUGACAUGCUGUGCACCCCACAGUGGAGACAUCAUAGUAUGAGGUAAAAAAACAAAAUUAAAUAUGUUAUGAUGCCUAACCACGUUUUUCAGGGUCCCCUAAAGCAUUUCUCAUACUUUUUAAAAAAGUAUUUAGAUUUUAAUUUUUGUGAGUACAUAGUAGGUGUAUAUAUUUAUGGGAUACAUGAGACACUUUGAUACAGGCAUUAAAUAUGAAAUAAUCCCAUCAUGGACAAUGGGCUAUCUAUCACCUCAACAUUUAUUCUGUGUGUUUCAAACAAUCCAUUUACACUCUUUUAGUUAUUUUAAAAUGUACAAUUAAGUUAUUAUUGACUGUAAUCACCCUGUUGUGCUAUCAAGUAGUAGGUCUUACUCUUUCUAAUUUUUGUACCCAUUGAGCAACCUCACUUCCCCCCUAACCCCCUACUACCCUUCAAAGCCUCUGGUAACCAUCCUUCUACUCUAUGCCCAUGAGUUCAAUUGUUUUGAUUUUCAGAUCCCACAAAUAAGUGAGAACAUGCGAUAUUUGUCUUCUUUUUGUGCCUGGCUUAUUUUACUUAACAUAAUGAUCUCCAGUUCCAUCCAUAUUGUUGCCAAUAAGAGAAUCUCAUUUUUUAUGCCUGAAUAGUACUCCUUUGUAUAUAUGUGCCACAUUUUCUUUAUCCAUUCAUCUAUUGAUAGACACUUAGGUUGCUUCCAAAUCUUAGCUCUUGUAAACACUGCUACCACAAACAUGAGAGUGCAGAUAUCUCUUUGAAAUACUGAUUUCCUUUCUUUGGGUAUAUACCCAGCAGUGGGUUGGCUGGAUCAUAUGGUAGCUCAAUCUUUACUUUUUUUGAGGAAUCUCCAAACUGUUCUCCAUAGUGCUGGUGCUAAUUUACAUUCCCAUCAUCAUCGUAGAAGGGUUCUCCUUUCUCUACAUCCUCACCAGCAUUUGUUAUUGUCUGUCUUUUGGGUAUGAGUCAUUUUAACUGGGGUAAGAUGAUUUCUCAUUGUAGUUUUAUUUGCAAUUUUUUGAUGGUCGAUGAUGUUGAGCACCUUUUCAUAUGCCUAUUUGCUAUUUGUAUGUCUUCUUUUGAGAAAUGUCUAUUCAGAUAUUUUGCCCAUUGUUUGAUCAGAUUAUUUGAUUUUUUCCUAUGCAGUUGUUUGAGCUCCUCAUAUAUUUUGGGUAUUAGUCACUUGUCAUAUGGGUAGUUUGAAAAUAUUUUCUUCUAUUCUGGGGUUGUCUCUUCAGUUUGUUGUUUCCUUUGCUGUGCAAAAAUUUUUUAACUUGAUCUUAUCCCAUUUGUCCAUUUUUGCUUUGGUUGUCUUUGCUUGUGGGAUAUCACUCAGGAAAAUUUUGCCCAGACAAAUGUCCUGGAAAUUUUCCUCAAUGUUUUCUCAUUUUCUUAAGGUGUUUAGUUUGAUUUGGUUUUGGUUUUAUUGUACAAGUUUUCUGCAGUAAAAAUAAAUACUAAUGCUUCUGGAUAUUCAUAAUUUUCAUUAGAAUGCACAAAUCUCUGGGGAGGAGUCUGCACUAAAGAUAGAAGGUAUUCAGGAUUGAAUAAAUGUAUUUGAUCUCAGAGUCUUUUUAAACAACAGUUAGAAACAUUUCAAGGAGACAAUUUUCCUAAAACAUUUUGGGAAACUUUUGCUGUAGUUCAGUCUACUCAAGAAAAACACAGCAAGAAUGCAUUCCUCCUGGCCCACACUACACUAUCCAGUAAUCAAAACAUUUGGCAGCACAAGGCAGUAUUUCCUGAAUUUUCUAGAAGUUCGAAAUCUGUUUCUCAAAUUGAGCCAAAAGCCUGCUUUCUAAAAUUUUCAUUAAUACGUUGCUUCAACUUUUUCUACUUCUGCCAGGUAUAUAAAAUCUCUCUUCCACAUGGAAAUUACUGAGGCAUGUAAAAGUUAUUAUGUCAUCAUUUCACUGAAUUAACUAUCUCCUUGGCAAAACAUUACUGAUUUCUUUAUCUGUCCUACAUAUGAUGUAGUAGAAAACUUACCCCACCACAUCCAUUACAAUUCCUUGUAUAAAAACAUCAUUUUUAUAGAUAUAAAUAUUUCCCACUUGUAAAUAUUUUCAUUUAAUCUGUCAAUUCAACUGAAGAAAUUUUGGGUGCUUUCUAGAUAACAAGUGUUCUGUUUUAGUCAUGGGUACCACUAUUAAGAGGUUCACAUACACAAGCACAGGGUGACAUAUGAGAUCACGUGCUGAUGAUCUGUUGUGUGUGUGAAGAUGAUCUCUUGGCAUUUAGCAUCCAUUCUUAUCUCUCUUAGUGUGUUCCUCCACUGAAGAACAUGAAAAACAAAAACUCAUGCUCCUAUAUUUCUUGGCAGCAAGAGUUCUAGAUGAAAAUUACAUUUCAACAAUUAGAAUCAUCUUUUGAGAUUUGGAAGGUAAAGAUGAAAAGGAAGCCAUAUUCUGCCUUCCUUUGCUGUUUGUAGCUACAGAACAGGGUUCUGGAACCACGUUUUCUGCUUGUGUGUGGUUUUGCUUUGCCCCCUUUUUCCUGCAAGAGUAUUCCAACAUCCAGUUUCUCAUGCCCAGGGGUCAAGAAGGAAGUAGCCAUACUCAGAUUUCCAAUAGAGGCCACCAGCUUCACUAGUGGUGGAGAGAAACGUGUGUUUCCAAUAUGGCGAGGCUCUCUGAUUCUGACUUUCGAUCCUUGAAUUUUGGUUAUUGUGCUGCCUUCUUCAACUCAUCUGCUUCAAAAGCAGCCUCCAGAUGCUCCAACCUCAUAACAGUGUCAUAGAUUGCAGUUCUGAUGAGUUCGUUUCUGGGAGCCUUUCUUUCCCAGCAUAAAGGCUGGUCACACUUCUCUUCCAAGGGCUUUGUAAGCACAAACGUUAUUUAGUGCUUUAAAUAAGUAUAGUAAGUUCUGUUUCUGGCAUGAAAACUUAGUUAAUAAAGUAUUUACUACCAGAGCAGUUAAUAGCCAACAUUUUAAAUGAUAAGAUUCUGGGGUAGUCAAAAUAGAAAUGGGAUAAAGGGACCGGGCAUGGUGGCUCACGCCUGUAAUCCCAGCACUUUGGGAGGCUGAGGCAGGUGGAUUGCCUGAGCUCAGGAGUUCGAGGUCACCCUGGGCAACAUGGUGAAACUGCAUCUCUAUUAAAAUACAAAAAAAAAAAAAAAUUAGUCUGGUGUGGUGGUGCAUACCUGUAGUCUCAGCUGAGGCAUGAGAAUCGCUUAAGCCCCAGGAGCGGAGGUUGCAGUGAGACAAGAUCACACCACUGCACUCCAGCUUGGGCUACAGAGUGACGCUCCAUCUCAAAAAAAAAAAAAAAAAAAAAAAAAAAAAGAAAGAAAGAAAAAAGGGAUAAAGGAUGUGAAGGUAUAUAUAUAUAUAU